rnacentral:rRNA from 1 species
CCUACGGGUGGCAGCAGUGAGGAAUAUUGGUCAAUGGCCGCAGGGCUGAACCAGCCAAGUCGCGUGAGGGAUGACGGUCCUAUGGAUUGUAAACCUCUUUUGUCAAGGGACAAAAUCAGGCUCGAGAGCCUGACCGAGGGUACUUGAAGAAAAAGCAUCGGCUAACUCCGUGCCAGCAGCCGCGGUAAUACGGAGGAUGCGAGCGUUAUCCGGAUUUAUUGGGUUUAAAGGGUGCGUAGGCGGGCUGUUAAGUCAGCGGUAAAAGCCCGGGGCUCAACCCCGGCGAGCCGUUGAAACUGGCUGUCUUGAGAUGUCGAGAGGUAUGCGGAAUGCGCAGUGUAGCGGUGAAAUGCUUAGAUAUUGCGCAGAACUCCGAUUGCGAAGGCAGCAUACCGGCGGCGAUCUGACGCUGAGGCACGAAAGCGUGGGUAUCGAACAGGAUUAGAUACCCUUGUAGUC